rnacentral:lncRNA from 1 species
UGCCACAAAAAAUGUUUAACAUUCAACAUACAUUAUAAAAACUUGAAAUCAAAUUAUAGUUGAAACUCACAACAUAAAAAUACAAAUCAAAAAGUCCUAGAGUUAAUAAGUUGAUAAUUUGAUCACAGGUUGAGCCUUUGGGAUGGGCUCUUUCCUUAGCUUCUUAACUUCUUCUUUAGCCAACAAAUCAACAAAAAAAUGCAAGAAUCGAUUGUAAAAACUUCUCAAAACUAGUUAACCUCUCGCUACGACCAAGCUUCGUCAAGAAGGGAAAAAUGUACCUCACUAUUACACUCAGCACAUUCAAUAGCCCUAAUGUCACUGUGCAGUACCGGAUGCACGGGCCUUGGAGGACAACUACCAAAAAAUAGCAAAGUAUUGAAUUUCGACUAGAAAGUUAAAAUGUGUUGUAAUAAUUACUUGUAAGUAGUAUAGUAUCGUGUCUACAAAGCUGAAGUCCCAAAGAACAGAAGAUCUCUUCAUGAGAUGAUUAUCACAUUUCUGCAUACAGUAUAUAGCAAUUUAUCAUGAAAGUUUUGUUUAAGUUUCAAAAUUAGGUUUUGAAAAAUGUAAAUACAUCUGUUUCUUAACAAUCGAUUGGCAUGUAGCUACAAAAAAAAAAAGGUGCCCUUCUCGUGUAUGUCAAUUAGCAACUAGUCAGACCUCGAAAGUUUUCUUUCGGUGACAACUCCAUGAUUAACUGUUGAAGACACCAAAAGAGAAUUUUCUUCGAUGAUGUAAUAUUAGAAGUUGUUACGUUCUUCAAUAAUUAACUGUUAUUGAAAAUACAUUAGCAAGAAUGAUGGACAAAUAAUCUUUAUCAGUAACUUCAAUUCCAAAGAAUAGGUUAUCAAAAAAAGGCAGAAGUCAUAAAUUUGGUUGGCUAAAUAUCUCACCUCAAACUUUUUGUCGGAUUAAUAUAAACAUAAAUGAAUAGAAUUUGGUUCUCAAACGGGAAAAAGAAAGGUAUGUCUAAACUUGUCCCGUUCAGAAUUACUGGCCCGUUUUAACUUGACAAAGCCAUCAUACCACAAUCAAAUGAAAGAAAUCACGUCAAUGUCAUGUGCUUAUUGAAAGAAAGGAAAUGCAAUAAUCUUAGUUUAAGAAAUUAAAAGUUACUUGGAUAAUCUCAAAAAGCUACAACUGAAAUCAUGCAAGAAACGUUAAAUCGUGCUUUUCUUAUCUUCCUCUCUUAAGUAAAAAUUAAUGGAACCUUUAUUCCCAUUUUCAUAGUAAAUAAACUUCCAUUAUUCUUGCCUUCUCGUGUUAUUCAAAAGUUAUUUGAUUCACAUGACUUUCCAACAAUUCAAAUUGUCUUCUUUGUCAACUCAGACCUCUUGCACUUCGUUAAAGCCUUUAUUUCAUCUAAAAUCCCUAAUUUCUCCAACACAUAAAGCAUAUAUCAUUAAUCAUAUAUACUGAAGGAAAAAAGGAUGAUGUCAAGCAUAACAUAGAAAUGUGAUGAACAUUGGCUGUAUCCUAUGCCACUAUUACCUUCAAAAGUCUGUCAGGCUAGUCUUUGGUACCACAACAACUCGACUCAUAAAUCACAUUAGAUGCAGGGUUGAGUCACUUACAGACCAGAGCCACAAUGCCCAUAAUUUAUUUUUAUGAACAAAUACUUUAAAAUCGUAUAACUGUGCAAAGUGUAUAGUAACCUUUUA